rnacentral:lncRNA from 1 species
GGCCAUAUGGCCUUAGGAGAUGAGUUCCAUGAAGCCUGGUGAUUGAUUGGGGGGCGGGGGUGGUUUGUGAGGGCAGUCUAGGCCAGAUCCCAGUUUGGGCAUGGAAAGAUGGGAAUGUUGGUUCCAUUCACCCAAAUCAGGAACACGUGGGAGAGCUGGGGAAGGUCGGGGAGCAGAAUCGUCUAGAGCCUGGCUGCUCAAAGGGUGGUUCGGGAACCGAAGCGUAUCAACACUACUUGGUAUGAAGAUCUCAGCUUCACCUCAGACAAGCUAA